rnacentral:rRNA from 1 species
CUCCUAACUGGAGGNAGGUNGGGAUGACGUCAAAUCAUCAUGCCCCUUAUGACCUGGGCUACACACGUGCUACAAUGGGCAGAACAAAGGGCAGGAAGCGCGAGGCUAAGCCAAUCCCACAAAUCUGUUCUCAGUUCGGAUCGCAGUCUGCAACUCGNCUGCGUGAAGCUGGAAUCGCUAGUAAUCGCGGAUCANCAUGCCGCGGUGAAUACGUUCCCGGGCCUUGUACACACCGCCCGUCACACCACGAGAGUUUGUAACACCCGAAGUCGGUGAGGUAACCUUUUGGANCCAGCCGCCGAAGGUGGGACAGAU